rnacentral:rRNA from 1 species
UCGUGGAGUGAUCUGUCUGCUUAAUUGCGUUUCAGAUUAAAGGGAAGUAAUGAGCAGGUCAGUGUGUCUCGGGUAAAACCGAUGACAGCUCUGGCUGAGCUCGCUUCCUUGAAAGCAACGAACGUGACCGCAGCCCUUUGUUGGAUCGACUGUUGUGUUUGAUCCCAACUAAGGGGACCGCCAGGUUUUUUAAAACCGGAGGAAGGUUGCGGCAAUAACA